AUGGUCCAGAUACUGUCCCUGAUCCACAACAGAGAUGGCAGUCUGACUAGCAUGCCCUACAUACCAGCAGAUGUCACGAACCUAAAGGCAAAGUACCGUAGAGAGAGCAGGUUGGCUGACAUAGAAGACACAAUAGCCUACUUCGAAGAGAAAGCAAAAGCAGAUAUUGAUUUCUCCUACAGGAUAAGAUUGGACGAUGAGGACCGUGUCAGAAACAUGUAUUGGGUGGAUGGUGCUACAAGAAGAGCCUACAAACAUUUCCAUGAUUGCAUUUCGUUUGACGCGACAUAUCUCAUGAAUAUGUACAAGAUGCCCUGUGCUCUAUUCAUAGGAAUAAAUAACCAUAAUAAUUCAUUGCAGUUUGGUUGCAGACUCGUUCGGAAUGAAGAUACAGAUGGUUACACUUGGCUGUCCAAAACCUUCUUGGAGUGCAUGGGUGGACUUGCUCCGAUGAACAUAAUAAUAGACCAGGAUUUUAGCAUGCGUGCAGGCAUAGAGAAGAUCUUUCCGUUGGCAGUGCACAGGCACUGUAGGUGGCAUAUUAUUAAGAAGGAUGAGGAGACACUAGGACCAUUCUUUUCUGACCGUCCAAAACUACACAAGGCAUUCGAAUUGUGCGUGGACCACAACUUGACGGUGGCGGAGUUUGAACAGAGCUGGACGGCUAUGAUUGAAACAUACCAAGUCCAAGAUAAUGAGACACUUAAUAGCCUGUGGGAGACGCGAAUGUACUGGGUGCCGGCCUACUUCAUGAAGUGCUUCUUUUCAUUUCUACAGACUACGCAACACAGCGAGGGGUUCAAUGCUAUUUUGAAGCGGUACGUGAGCCCUGGCAACUCAUUGCUGCAGUUUGCCAAGCAAUACACAUCUUUGCAACAGAAAAUACUGGGAUCUGAGCUACAACAAGAAGCAAACACCACACUCAAGUAG
rnacentral:rRNA from 1 species